rnacentral:rRNA from 1 species
UACGUAGGGCGCAAGCGUUGUCCGGAAUUAUUGGGCGUAAAGAGCUCGUAGGUGGCGUGUCGCGUCUGCCGUGAAAGCCCAUGGCUUAACUGUGGGUCUGCGGUGGAUACGGGCAGGCUGGAGGCUGGUAGGGGCAAGCGGAAUUCCUGGUGUAGCGGUGAAAUGCGCAGAUAUCAGGAGGAACACCGGUGGCGAAGGCGGCUCGCUGGGCCAGUUCUGACGCUGAGGAGCGAAAGCGUGGGGAGCGAACAGG